UACUUUUAAAAAGUAAGCCCAAGAAAAUGACAACUUAGGAAAAAUAUUUCCAACAUGUAUAAGAGACAAAUUGUUUAGAUCCUAAUUUAUGAAGAACUCUUAAAAAUUAAUAAGAAAAAAGAUGGACCAUUAUCAUUUUGCUUUCCUGAUUAACUGAUAUUUUAAAACAUUUUCUCACCCAGCAGCUACAGUGACAUUGUGCGGAUUUAUAAAAGGUAAAAGGCUUGUUUGUCUUUUGUACUUUAAGCAUGUCCCAGGUGGAUGUGGAUUCAGGAAUUGAAAACAUGGAGGUUGAUGAAAAUGAUCGAAGAGAAAAGCGGAGCCUCAGUGAUAAGGAGCCUUCCUCGGGCCCUGAAGUGUCUGAAGAGCAGGCCUUACAGCUGGUCUGUAAGAUCUUCCGUGUCUCUUGGAAGGACCGGGACAGAGAUGUCAUCUUUCUUUCUUCUCUUUCUGCACAGUUUAAGCAGAACCCAAAAGAAGGUAGGAAUCUAGCUCAGCAGUCUUACUGCAGAGUACUCGACAAGAAAAUAAGAUGUGAGAUCUUUGCCCUCUGUUAUCCACAUUCACUCCAUC
rnacentral:sRNA from 1 species